CUGACUUUUCAAAGAACACUUAAGUCUCCUCUUCAGUGUCCUCUAGAGUCAUAGAGCUUAUGGAAUGAAUAAGAUAGACAGACAGACAGACGGGCAGACAGACAGACAGACAGACAGACAGACAGACAGAAGGGGCUAUAGUCCAACUAAUUCAACAAUGGCCAGCCAUGAACGGGAAAUAAAUUAUCUUGUUCUUAUGUUGUCAAGUAAUACCUCUACGACACAGAUUCUCCAGGUAGGGCUGACAUGGCUUAGCAGGCAAGAGCAAAGGACCCAGAUUCAGCUUCCAGCACCCACACAGCAGCUCGCAACCAUCUAUAACUCUAAUUCUUUGGGAUUCAACACCGUCUUCUGGCCUUGGCAAGUUAUGCACAAGCAUACGUUCAGACAAAAACAUCCAUACACAUAAAAUAAAAGUAAGAAGAAAAACCUUUAAGAUUCUACAGACACUCAAACUGGUUGACUAGUACUUCCUGAUUGUGGGGAGUUGGAAUGUUGUAGAUCCUCAGCCAGUAUUACCUUUAGUCCCCCUCAGCACCAUUUAUCAUCUACCCUAGUAUCUGCUUUAAUAUCCAUCCACUUGACUGUUAGCUAUAAGUAUAUAAAGAUGGACACUCACUGGGAUUUCUAGAUUCUUAUGUCCCUGAACAAAUGUGAGGACAGAGAUGUAGAUGGCAACAUGGGCAUGAGAUGACAAAGAGAGUUUAUUGACAUUCAUUGGAAAAGAGAAAAGCCAAAUCCCAGAGAGAGAGAUGACACCAUUAAGAGGAAGCAGGACCAUGAAAGUCAAGAAAAUACUUUAUCUUAUGGGCCAUUUGCUCAAAGAUUCAUAUCUAGAUAGGCAGGUAUCUCACUAUCUCAUUAAGUAGUAAAUAGUAUACUACAUGUCUUUUUGACACUAGCCAUGUAGUCAGGGUGCCACAGGUCCUCGGUAGCUAUGCUCCAGAUGCUUGUAUACAGUAAGUCAUGACCUAGUUGAUAAAGUGUGGAAAUUUUGUUUUCAUUCCUGAUCUGUCUCUACAAAAACAUUCCACUAGUCAAGACAAGUCAUGUGGCAAAGCCAGCAUCAAUGGAUCAGGAAUACACCAUCUCUCAUAAUGUCAACAAGGCCACAUGACAGAAUAUUGGAGAUAUAACAUAAUUGGUAGCCAAUCAGGACACGGGGAGGAAAUCAGGACCAGCCAAGCUAACCAGAUGUAGCACUUCACAGCUUGAAUGUGUCACUCAAGCCUGUUGAUUCUGCUCACAUGACGUGUCAGAAUCCCAGACAGUACGUAAGUCUAAUUUUUACUAAUCCCAGACUAUGGCUCCAUUUCCACAAAAUGGACAGGUCAUUUCUGUCUAGAAAGGUCUAGAAAUAUAAAGAAAUCAAAACCCCCUAUUUUAUCUGACCUCUUCCUCAGAGGCAGAAUAUCUUUACUCUAGUCAUUUCCUGUUGCCUCCCUUAGAAAAACAAUUGCUAUUGGUUAUUGUGACAAGUGUUUUAAAAAUUGAAUUGUGUUCAUCUGGUUUAAGAUUUGACUAAUGAGUUUGGAAUCUCACUUUGAGCUAACAUUGUCCAGGCACUUUAAAAAGUCACCUAGAUAACAGAUUGCCUAACAUAAAGAGCUGUGUUUGGUUUCAAGGUAAUUCUAGUUCAUCUGGUGGUUUAUUAGCUGUGAUCAAAUCUGGCUGAAAGUGUCCAGAAGGACAGAGAAAGGGCGGAAAAUCAAAGACCUCACCUUGCCUACAUCUACACAGCCAAGACUGCCACAAAACAAGAGACAGAGUCUGCAUUAAAGCAGACACAAGAUAUAGACAUAAGUUGCCUGUUCUGCACCCAUGGAACUUCCUGGACGUCCAUUCGCUUUCUGACCUUUCCUGCCCAUGCUUCAGACGGAGCAACCCAUUCUUCAUGGCCUUCCAGGCUGUCACGUCUGUUGUUCGCCGUCCGUGGACACCAAAGUGGAGAGCUGGCUCUCCUUGAAACAGCUUGAGAAAAAUUCCAAUGUGGCUCCCGGUUCUGACCUCCCGAGGACUUUCGGACAGAGCAAAUACAUCUCUGCAAAGUCAGAUGUUUAAGGCGAAGGCUAAAACGAAGUCCGAGCUUUUACUUUAGACUUUGCCCGUCAGCCUGCCGUCUUCCCAGGCUUACUUCCCGCCUCCCCUCUGUCUUAACCAGAUCACACCAGGCUCUCUCGGUUCCUGCUGCUUUCCCGAAUCCUCAUCCCUGAAGUCUCAGCGCACCUGUCCUGUCACCUCCAUGAAACUCCUGCAUCACCCUGUUUGGACGUAAUCUGAGCUCGCUGGGCUCUUCCUACCUCACGGGGCUUUUCUUCUGCUCUUGUGAUGGUCCGUGUGUGAAGCAAGACCCAUACGAAAAGGAUCCUGUGUAGGAGGCUUGGCCGUGGUUGAGGGCGCCGUUGAAGAUGAUUGAAUGUUAAGUGUGUUAACCUCUCCUGGCUUUUAGAUGAGGCCUAUAGGUUGCCGGGAGCAUCAAUUUGGAAGAGAUCUCUGGCUUCUGUGACACCAUCAAUAUUGGAUCCUCACCGGGCCUCCUCCCAGUUAUCCUGUGUUGGCCUGUGUCAUAGAGAUCUGGCAGCUUUGGAUCAGCAGUCCUGGCCUUUGCAUGUGUCCCAACCAUCCAUAGAUAACGGAUUUUUGGGUGAGUCAACUCAGAGCUUUGGAUCUGGGCCUGGGUGGUAGCUAAGCUGGUCAGAGCCCCCACUCUCCCUUAUCAGCACCACCAGGGCGAGUUCUCCAGCACUGUCCCAGCUAGGACACCCAGUACCACCCAUGCAGGGUCAGCUCUCACGCCCUCCAGGCCAACUCACCUGCACCCCUGCCUCCAGAGUCGGCUUCGCUGUGCUGCCCAGUCAAGGUGUGAGGCCCACUCUCCCUAGUGCUUCACCCAGUGAGAGAAAGAGCCAACUCACCCUUCCUCAUGAUCCCAGCCCAUGCCACCUCAUGGCAGACGAGGGCCAGCUCUCCUUCACUUUUUCCCAGCUCACCUGAGCCACCUCCACUAGGGUGAGCUCUACUGUGCUGCACAGGUGAGGUGUAGGGCCAGCUCACCCACUCUCAUGACCCCAGGGUCAGCUCUCCUAUACUCAUGGGGAGGGGUAUUGACUCACACCUCCAUCACCAGGGUCAGCUGUGUUGUCUGGGUGAGGUGCAGGGCCCAGUGCCACCUGUGACAGGUAGGCCCAACUCUCCAGAGCACAACAGCCAGUGAGAAGCAGGGCCAGCUCUGCAUGGGUCCACCUGGACGUCCACCUGGGCCACAGCAGCUGCCCCAACCGGGGAUGUCCCUAUGUUCCCUAGUGGUAAUAUGAACCACGGACAUCAACACCAACUUCUGCUUCUGUGUAGCCCCAGACCCAGACAUGGCCCUCAGUGGCAACUCAGGCUGGGGCCUCAUCAUGACCCCAGGUGGUAGGACUGGCCACUUACAACGGGCUGCUCCUCUCUCCCCUCGAGUCUCCAUUUUCCUUCCUCUUCCACCUGUCCACCACAUAUUGCACAUUGUGGUGGCUCCCACUGCAGGCUGACCACAAAGCUGACUCCCUGUGGUGAGCCCCCGGGUGACAUCCUCUGGCAAGCAGGUAUCUACAGCUCUCUGUGCCAUGUACUGGAGGGUAGGUCUGUGGGUGGCAUGGCCGUCAGCAGGUCUCUGUCUGUCUUCCUCCUCCCAUGCUGCACUGCCUGGAUUUGACUUGAUAUUUUUUAUAUGUCCUAGGCAUAAAACAGCUUUGGCCACCUUCCUUGAAAUCAAACUAUACUAAACAAAGAACUGCCAUCCACUCUGCCCCUAACAACACUACUGACAAGUGUUCUGCCUCGCUCCGGUCCCACCACGAUGGAGUCAGCCUUCAAUAAACAAAAACCUUCAAGUCAUGGGCCCAAAUACAUCUCUCCCCCACCCCACGACGGCAUCCAUCUCAGAUGCUUUCAGGAGUGAUGUAAAGUGACCAACUCGCUGUCUUAUUCUACAGGCUCUCAUAAAACCCGUCUCCCGGACCGACAAUAAAUUAUCUGUAGUAAGACCUCG
rnacentral:sRNA from 1 species